rnacentral:lncRNA from 1 species
CAUUUUUCAUUUUCUUGUUGGUGUCUUUUGGAAUUAUGUAGAUCCGCAAUGAGUAGAUCAAUGUCUAUUCUGGAAUUAGCAUGGAAGGUGUAAUCGGUUACAAUAAAUUAUAUAAAAAUAAUAAUAUCUUUUCAAAUUUCUUCAUGGGAACUGCAGUAAGAAAUUAUAAAACCUUGUUAUCAAUUUUGUUGCUUCAUUCUCUCUUAUUUCAUGAUAUACGAGAAGGUAUUGGAGUUUGUUUUUUAAAAGUUUUGAAGCCCAAAUUUUUUGUAAGAUUCCAUAGUCAUUUAACGAUUUAAUUAAAUUUGUUGUAGAUUUUUCAUUUCUUCUUCUUCUUUUCUUUCUUUCAGUGGGACCAGAUUUUUGUAAUUGCAGACUAUCUUCCUUCGAUAUCUGUAACUAUAUUUUUCUCUUUUGUUAGAUUUUUGUAACUUUCCCUAAUACUUUGUUAAAACACAAUUACACAGUAGCAUUCGAGAUUUAUGUAACUCUUUUCUUUUUUUUCCCCAUUUCUUUG